UACAGAGGGUGCAAGCGUUGUUCGGAAUUACUGGGCGUAAAGAGCGCGUAGGCGGCGCGGUACGACCGCUGUGAAAGCCCCCAGCUCAACUGGGGAGGGUCAGCGGUAACGGCCGUGCUUUGAGUGCAGGAGAGGGAAGUGGAACUCCGGGAGUAGCGGUGAAAUGCGUAGAGACCCGGGGGAACACCAGUGGCGAAGGCGGCUUCCUGGUCUGCGACUGACGCUGUGGCGCGAAAGCUAGGGGAGCAAACGGG
rnacentral:rRNA from 1 species